AACAUGGUAGAUGACAGCCUGUCAACACAGUUGCUAUGGAGUUGCUAUGACAAAAAUGAACAAACAAACCACAAGCUUAGAAACAGCUCUCGCCUCGUUCCUAUCUAAGUUGUAAAACAUUACAACUAUGGCUCAAUUCUAAUUUUUGAGUUCACUGCUUUCAUUUAUUUGGUCUCAACAUCAUGGUUCAUCUCUGCGCUUUUCCUACCAAGAUGGUGGUUCAGUGGCGUGGAUCACUUCCGGUUCAGACUCAUGGGAGCCCAGUAUUGUGCUAAUCACAGUCAACUGACUCAAGUCAAAUCAGCCAAUUGUGACAAUAAUCACAUUUUAAGAAAAACGUAUUGGUCUUGGUAUCUGUAUUGGUGAUACUGGCCCUGUAUUUACCAGAUAUCGGAUCGAUACCGACGUUCUCAGUAUCGCACAGCCCCGUUCUCCAGAUGGCAAAACACGACGAGCUGAUUCUGUUUUGAUGUGCAGCGUCUGAGUUUUGACAAACUACUGAAACUUGACCAGGAGGCGUCGGUUUCCCACAUUCACUCUGUCCUCUUGGUGUGGUCAGUCCGCAGUACUGACUCUGCUCCUCUCUACUGCGGCCCCAGGAUGCUUGUUUUGGCUUUCUGAUUAUGUUCCUAUAUUUCUUGUCACAUUCAGGGAUGCAGGGUUUUUUUUAAGGUGGAAAUUGCAAACAUAAAAAAUGGUAACAGGAGCCUGCAGCCUGAAGUUACUGGAAUUAAGUCAAGCCAAACGUCCGUCAAUCAAAAAUGGACGACUUUUCUCAGACAGGCCGCGCCGAGCGCCACCUGCAUCCCUCCUUGUUCGUCUGUAACUUCCUCACCCUGCAGACGAGGCACCGCCAACCUGCUCAGGCCGUCUGCCGUGUCUCUUAACAGGAAGCUGCAGUGUCCCCAAAAGCCACUGUGUAUCCCAUCGAAAGUAUUUUUGUCUGCCGGUGUAUUUUUAUCCCCCACUAUGACGCACGCAGAGAGAAAGGGUCUUCAGUUUGCUUAUCUUUAAAAAUGUUAUCACCGCAUCGCUUCCCUCCACUCAAAAAUCACAGAAAGCCCCCUGGCCUUUUAUUUCCCAUGGA